GAUGAACGCUGGCGGCGUGCCUAAUACAUGCAAGUCGAGCGAAGCGGGGACGGGUGAGUAACACGUGGAUAACCUCCUAUAAGACUGGGAUAACUUCGGGAAACCGGAGCUAUACCGCACAUUUAUGGAUGGAUCCGCGCUGCAUUAGCUGGUGGGUAAGGUAACGGCUGACCAAGGCAACGAUGAAGAGCCGACCUGAAAGGGUGAUCGGCAACACGGGAACUGAGAAACGGUCCAGACUCCUACGGGAGGCAGCAGGAGGGAACCUUCCGCAAUGGGCGAAAGCCUGACGGGGCAACGCCGCGUGAGUAAUGAAGGUCUUCGGAUCGUAAGACUCUGUUAUUAGGGAAGCGGUACCUAAUCAGAAAGCCACGGCUAACUACGUGCCAGCAGCCGCGGUAAUAC
rnacentral:rRNA from 1 species